AACACGUGUGUUAAGGAGAGCUGCGGAGGGUGGUGUUGCUGAAAUGUUUGAUUGUGGCUUCAGGAUCAGACUGAAAUGUGUGAGUUUGAGUUGGACACGUGGCUGGACGUGAAGAUCCACAUGAACAUCAAGGUUUAUAUUGACCCAGUUUAAAUCUUCAUGGUUUCCACUGAACCAGAGAUGCUUGAAGGUCUCGAGUCCUGAUGUACUGGUCAUGAGGUUUUUGUAAGAUGGGAAAAUCAAGUCCAAGUGUAUUGGGAUUUUUGGGAAACUUGCAGCAUUCAGAAUGUGGAUUUGCAAGCUGCUGCUGUUCAUGAACCUACUUUUGAACCAUUUGGUUCUGGCUUUGUUCCCAGCUUCCCAACUGGAACCAAAUGAUAUUAGGUUUUAAGCAUGAACCCUGACAUAAAAGGGUGUCAACUUUGAGAGGAAAGAGAAUAAUAGAACAAUACCUGUAGUUGAUCUGUCAAGUCAACUUUAUUUAUAUAGCGCUUUUUACAAUAUACAUUGUCUCAAAGCAACUUUACAAAAUCCAGGACCAACAGAUACAAAAAAAUCUGUGUGCUCUGCCAUCUCGUUACUCCUGUUUACUUUAGUUAUGUGUUGUGCAGAGACCUCCGUUGAUGACACAUCCUUGGUUCCAAUAAGGACUGGUGCAAAUUUCUGUCGGUUCUCUGAAUAGCACCAAUGUUCUAAUAAGCCAGAAUGGAACCAAUUCAAGAUCCAGAGUUAUUUUGCCUGCAAAGGGCUGUGUAUGUUAUCAUCUUUGUGUCUUAUUUAAAAUGCUCUACUAAUAAAGUCAUCAUUUGAUGAA